UUGACGCAAGCAUUAUUAAGUUGCUCUCUCGUUAACGCGUUGUUCGAAGAUGAAGAGAGGAAUUUAUAAACAAUGAUGGGAUGGGAUGGAAUAAGAAACGGGAGUGAAACGAGAAGGGCAAAACGACCUAGCCUGGGGAAAUCGAGGUUGUCGUGCUAAUUCGAUUUUCAUUGUUACUGAAUUGCUUACCGGAGAAACUCGGCAGUUUCUGUUACACCGUGACAUUCAAUUUUCAUAAAAUGAUUCACGCGAUGGGAACUUACGAAUUAAAUAUUGAUGAGCCAAGACUUGUAUCCUCGUAAGCUUCGUCGGGCCAUGAAGGCGCAGAAUGAGUUCUUGAGGAUAUGUACAUCUUCUUGAACUCUGCCAUCCUCUUACCGUCGGUCCAUGAACGUUCAGCUCCAACGAAGAGUGUCUAUCUUCUUCGCCUGUGAUUAUUUAAAAUAUUAUAAUCUUAAAUAAAACGAAGCAUAUUUUAUAAAAUUGCAAUAAGUAUUAUCGUUGUUGCAAAUGGAUUUUAUUUUAGAGAUUCCGGUAUUGUAUGGAGAAAAUUGUUGAUCGAAUAUAUUCGAUUGCUACCGAAAAUUUGUCAAAAAUUCCAUUUAUGUAUUGUUUCUAUUUCGAGCAAUUAUAUGCUUCUGCUUACUGAAUAAAAAUGGAGAUUGUAAGAGAUGUAA